AUUGAACGCUGGCGGCAGGCUUAACACAUGCACGUCGAACGAGUGGCGGACGGGUGAGUAAUGCUUGGGAAUCUAGCUUAUGGAGGGGGAUAACGACGGGAAACUGUAGCUAAUACUGCGUACCGCAGGAUCAGCUCAAGUGGGAUUAGGUAGUUGGGGAGGUAAAGGCUCACCAAGCCGACGAGCUCUAGCUGGUCUGAGAGGAGGACCGGCCACACUGGGACUGAGACACGGCGCAGACUCCGACGGGAGGCAGCAGUGGGGAAUAUUGCGCAAUGGGGGCAACCUGACGCAGCCAUGCCGCGUGAAUGAAGAAGGCUUUCGGGUUGUAAAGUUCUUUCGGUAGCGAGGCGUUAACUACAGAAGAAGCACCGGCUAACUCCGUGCCAGCAGCCGCGGUAAUAC
rnacentral:rRNA from 1 species